rnacentral:rRNA from 1 species
AGAAUCAACGCUGGCGGCGUGCCUAACACAUGCAAGUCGAACGAGAAAGUGGAGCAAUCCAUGAGUAAAGUGGCGCACGGGUGAGUAACACGUGACUAACCUACCCUUGAGUGGGGAAUAACUUCGGGAAACCGAGGCUAAUACCGCAUAAUACCUACGGGUCAAAGGAGCAAUUCGCUUAAGGAGGGGGUCGCGGCAGAUUAGUUAGUUGGCAGGGUAAUGGCCUACCAAGACGGUGAUCUGUA